CCUACGGGAGGCAGCAGUGGGGGAUAUUGCACAAUGGGGGGAACCCUGAUGCAGCGACGCCGCGUGGGUGAAGAAGCGCCUCGGCGCGUAAAGCCCUGUCAGCAGGGAAGAAAAUGACGGUACCUGAAGAAGACGCCCCGGCUAACUACGUGCCAGCAGCCGCGGGAAUACGUAGGGGGCAAGCGUUAUCCGGAUUUACUGGGUGUAAAGGGGGCGCAGACGGCGAUGCAAGCCAGGAGUGAAAGCCCGGGGCCCAACCCCGGGACUGCUCUUGGAACUGCGUGGCUGGAGUGCAGGAGGGGCAGGCGGAAUUCCUGGUGAAGCGGUGAAAUGCGUAGAUAUCAGGAGGAACACCGGUGGCGAAGGCGGCCUGCUGGACUGCAACUGACGUUGAGGCCCGAAAGCGUGGGGAGCAAACAGGAUUAGAUACCCUGGUAGUC
rnacentral:rRNA from 1 species